UAGCUUUGCCUAAGUCGAACUCUUACAAGUUUGAUAAAGUUCAUAGAAAAAAAUAUUAAUGUCUACAACAUCAAAUAUGUAUAGUAUGAAAAUAUAUUUGAUGAAUCUAAUGAAGCUAAUUUGGUGUUGUAGAUGUUGGUUCAUUUUUCUGUAGACUUGAUCAAGCUUAACAAGGUUUUAACUUGGAACAAACCUAG
rnacentral:pre_miRNA from 1 species